rnacentral:lncRNA from 1 species
GAUCUGUGCUCGUCUUCGUCACCCCAUAUUAUGUAGCUCACUGAACGAUACAUGCAGUUGCCAUCCCCAAAUAUUUUAUACACGCUGAAAGUACCUUCGGGAGAUUCGAACUGGUCCGUAAUUUCUUGAUGAUGAGAAAAAAAAGAAACAUUGUCAAAAUCAACCUGCGACGAGAAUCGUUGAAUUCGGCCGAAAGAUACGCAUAUACGUUGAGAAUAAUUGAGUAAAGUGAUCGGUCGAUGAAGGGGAAUCCUACAAAUUCCAGCUGAUUGUCGCAAUUCGUACAGAACGUAACGAGUGACGACUCCGGGGAGUGGAUGGUUUUUCAGGGAAAUUAUUUUUCAAUUUCCUUCGGCCGUCGUAUAGCUUGUUGCAGUUAUAAUCACUCGCCGGGAAGAAAAUAGAUUGGCUUCUUUUUCCUCUGCCACUGUCACCUCUGUCACAAUUACGAGCAUACGUAACCUCAACGGGACAACGCAGAGGUUUGCUUUUCUUCUUCAGCCGCGCAGAAUUGAACUGACUAUCUACAAGAAAUAUAAAUGACCUACUAUUGAAAUAGAUUUUCACCUAUUUUUCUGAAAAUUCGAAACUUAUUAAGUUGAUGCCAACAGAAGAUAACCCCUAAAAGUAAACCAAACUGUUCGGUGAGUCUAGAUUAAUUAUUAAUGUUACCAACCGUUCGCUCGUAUUUGAGCGUAUAAAUUUAUGCACCAAAUGCAGGGCGAACAAAGCGUGCCCAAGAGCGCCAACGACUGGAAGCUGCGAUCGUCCAGUUUAAUUUCUUCGGAACUCAAAAAUCGAAGAAGACCACUACGCUUUACGUUCUUCCUCUGCGUUUAAUUUUUCAUUAAUUUCGUUCAACAGCCGCAGUGAAGUACCCGGGACAAAAUAUAAGUGAAUAAAUGUCGAAGCGGCGGAAGAUGCUCGCUACCAUCAUUGCUAGAACAGAUAGUGAUUCAUGAUAAGAGUAGUUGUGCAAAUUUAUAAUUUUCAAUUGAAUUUUCUGGCUUGAGGGCCCAAGAACUCGCGGUUGCAGCUUUGGUAAAAAACAUACGUCGGAGCGUAACACGAUAAAUGCGAGUGUCAGUUUAUUCUGCUGUUAGUAUUCCUGCAGAAUCUAAUGAAGUGAGCUCGAAUUUUGCAACAAUUAUAAAUUCUGAUAACGAUAUUUCGCAAUCUGCGGGUAAUAACAAUCAAAAACAUGAAGUCUAACGAAUCCGUAAACCGAUCCGUGUUGUCGUCCGGGUCAAUUUAUCGAUACGUCUGCAUGAAAUGAGUAAUCAAUUAAUUUUUUUAAAUCGUUGAUUUCACUGUGCUUUAUUGGCAUAAAUAUACACGUAUGUUCCUUGUUCAUUGAUAACAGAUAAAAAUAUCUGAUUUUAUGUUUAUCUUCAACGUUUGAGUUGUGCCUGUAUGUCAAUUCUGUUACCAAUAUACGGUAUGAAUAUGUCUGUAUCCUGGUUACUAAUAAAUACAGUAAAACGUUUAUUCUA